rnacentral:rRNA from 1 species
CGAACGCUGGCGGCGUGCUUAACACAUGCAAGUCGAGCGGUAAGGCCUUUCGGGGUACACGAGCGGCGAACGGGUGAGUAACACGUGGGUGAUCUGCCCUGCACUUCGGGAUAAGCCUGGGAAACUGGGUCUAAUACCGGAUAUGACCUCCUAUCGCAUGGUGGGUGGUGGAAAGAUUUAUCGGUGCAGGAUGGGCCCGCGGCCUAUCAGCUUGUUGGUGGGGUAAUGGCCUACCAAGGCGACGACGGGUAGCCGACCUGAGAGGGUGACCGGCCACACUGGGACUGAGACACGGCCCAGACUCCUACGGGAGGCAGCAGUGGGGAAUAUUGCACAAUGGGCGAAAGCCUGAUGCAGCGACGCCGCGUGAGGGAUGACGGCCUUCGGGUUGUAAACCUCUUUCAGCAGGGACGAAGCGCAAGUGACGGUACCUGCAGAAGAAGCACCGGCUAACUACGUG